rnacentral:rRNA from 1 species
UGCUGCAUGGCUGUCGUCAGCUCGUGUCGUGAGAUGUUCGGUUAAGUCCGCUAACGAGCGCAACCCUCGCUGUGUGUUACAAGUGUCACACGGAACUGCCGGUCAUAAACCGGAGGAAGGUGGGGAUGACGUCAAGUCAGCAUGGCCUUUAUAUCCUGGGCUACACACACGCUACAAUGGGAAGGGACAAUAGGUUGCGAAGCCGCGAGGCGGAGCCAAUCCAGCAAAACUUCCCUCAGUUCAGAUUGCAGGCUGCAACUCGCCUGCAUGAAGUUGGAGUUGCUAGUAACCGCAGGUCAGCCAUACUGCGUUGAAUACGUUCCCGGGGCUU